GCCAGGUGUGGUGUCGCACACCUGUAAUCCCAGCUACUGGGGAGGCUGAGGUAGGAGAAUCGCUUGAACCCAGGAAGUGGAGGUUGCAGUGAGCCGAGAUGGCGUCACUGUUCUCCAGCCUGGGCAACAGAGUGAGACUAUGUCUCAA
rnacentral:sRNA from 1 species